rnacentral:rRNA from 1 species
UACGUAGGGUGCGAGCGUUGUCCGGAAUUAUUGGGCGUAAAGAGCUCGUAGGCGGUCUGUCGCGUCGAUCGUGAAAACUUGGGGCUUAACCCUGAGCCUGCAGUGGAUACGGGCAGACUAGAGGUAGGUAGGGGAGAAUGGAAUUCCCGGUGUAGCGGUGAAAUGCGCAGAUAUCGGGAGGAACACCGGUGGCGAAGGCGGUUCUCUGGGCCUUACCUGACGCUGAGGAGCGCAAGCGUGGGGAGCGAACAGG